AAAAACCCUCUUAUUAUAAAACGCGGUAUCAAAUAAGUAUCGGCUUUUGUACUACCUUUAAUCCAGCUGUAAGUACGACCUUGAAAAAACGUUAUUACAAAACGCAGUUUAUCGCAAGUCCUAUUACUAUCUGUAGUACAAAAGAUAAACCAUCGAGCCCCCUAGUUUAACUGCAGUACUUAGUCGACAAACGUCAAAUUCCGACAUUAUUUACUUUUGAGGUUAUUUGUUUUGUGAUGAAAAAAACGAAAGUGGAUAUAAAUACGUGUGAUUUGGAAUACUUGGAUGUGUUAGAAUACUAUUGAGAGUGUCCGGGGACCCAACAGAGUGCGUCAUCGACAAAAUCUCUUCAAAUUACCUGACGACAAUUUUCGAUAUAAAUAUCGAUUUACGUUUUUCGAAAUAAUAGUCAAUUGAAUGCAUGAUGAUAAUCCAGGCUGAUCCUAUGAUGCUCAACUGGGCUCGCCAUAAAAUUCAAGACUAUUUUGGCGUUUUGCACGCCGUAUCUCUGUCAGUGAUAUGCAAUGUUUGUAAAAGACUGGAAGCUUGCUAAAAUGUACAAAAAUGCCUAGAUGAGAAAGGGAAAAAGAUUGUGUGAUGAAGAACAGUGUCCAACAUGUAUCAGUGCAUUUGACUGUAUAAAUAGACAUCGGAAUAAAAUAUAAUUUUCUACU
rnacentral:lncRNA from 1 species